rnacentral:misc_RNA from 1 species
GAUGAAGAACGUAGCGAAAUGCGAUAAGUAAUGUGAAUUGCAGAAUUCAGUGAAUCAUCGAAUCUUUGAACGCACCUUGCGCCCUUUGGACUUCUGAAGGGCAUGCCUGUUUGAGUAUCAUGAACACCUCAACUCCUUAUGGUCUCCCAUGAUGAGCUUGGACUUUGGGGGUUUUGCUGGCCUACAGUCAGCUCCUCUAAAAUAAAUCAGCUUACCGGUGUUUGGUGGGUAUCAUGGGUGUGAUAACUAUCUACGCUCGUGGUUUUCCACCAGGUAACCUUCAGCAGUGGAGGUUCACUGGAGCUCAUAGAUGUCUCUCCUCAGCGAGGACAGCCCUUUGAAUGUUUGAUCUCAAAUCAGGUAGGACUACCCGCUGAACUUAAGCAUAUCAAUAAGCGGAGGA